rnacentral:rRNA from 1 species
UACGAAGGGGGCUAGCGUUGCUCGGAAUUACUGGGCGUAAAGCGCACGUAGGCGGCUUCUUAAGUCGGUGGUGAAAUCCUGGAGCUCAACUCCAGAACUGCCUUCGAUACUGGGAAGCUCGAGUCCGGGAGAGGUGAGUGGAACUGCGAGUGUAGAGGUGAAAUUCGUAGAUAUCGCAAGAACACCAGUGGCGAAGGCGGCUCACUGGCCCGAUACUGACGCUGAGGUGCGAAAGCGUGGGGAGCAAACAGG